rnacentral:lncRNA from 1 species
GGCAAAGGACAAGAGCUGCCCACUCUUUCAGAAGCAUCUCUCAGAGAGUGACAUCCCCCUGCACACAGCUGCCAUGUCUGUGUGGCUGACUUGGGAGAAAUGCCAGAAAGGUUGGCAUGAGUGAGCAACUGUGAGGAGACCAUCAGAUGGAAACACCCAAGAGGGGCACUGAAAUGAUCAGGACUAGCUGAACUGGAAAGGACAAAGGCAGAAGAAAAGUACCCUCAAUAUUUGGGCACUUUGGGUCCAAAUAGAGUUUAU